rnacentral:rRNA from 1 species
CCUACGGGUGGCAGCAGUGGGGAAUAUUGGACAAUGGGCGAAAGCCUGAUCCAGCCAUGCCGCGUGUGUGAAGAAGGCCUUCGGGUUGUAAAGCACUUUCAGUGGGGAAGAAAGCCUUGGGGCUAAUACCCUCGAGGAAGGACAUCACCCACAGAAGAAGCACCGGCUAACUCCGUGCCAGCAGCCGCGGUAAUACGGAGGGUGCGAGCGUUAAUCGGAAUUACUGGGCGUAAAGCGCGCGUAGGCGGUCUGAUAAGCCGGUUGUGAAAGCCCCGGGCUCAACCUGGGAACGGCAUCCGGAACUGUCAGGCUAGAGGGCAGGAGAGGAAGGUAGAAUUCCCGGUGUAGCAGUGAAAUGCGUAGAGAUCGGGAGGAAUACCAGUGGCGAAGGCGGCCUUCUGGACUGACACUGACGCUGAGGUGCGAAAGCGUGGGUAGCAAACAGGAUUAGAUACCCCGGUAGUC